ACUUUUCUGCUAUAAAUACUUCAGUUUAGUCUUUUUACUGAUGAACAAACAAACUUUAUUUUAUCGUUUCUUCGUUGUUUUGACAGUUUUCUAUAUAUAUUUGUUCAUUUGUAAAGCGGUUGAGUAGAGCGAGGGAAUGCUUGUUUUUGUGAGUAGUUUUAGCUUUAGCUAUUUGGAUAUUUGAUAUCUGUGGUUAUAUAUGGAUGUAUUUAACUUGUAUCCACUGACAGUGUAAUUUAAUUUACAGUAUAAAUUUUUUUGUAAAUUCUUUUGACUAAUGGAAGAAAUAAUUUUAAUGGCUUUUUCGUUUUUUCUUUGUAGAGCAGUUGAGUAGAAAUGUGAUGGCAUUCCUUGUUUGUACCGUUUUUUCCAUGUCGGUUUAUUCAUUUGUAAAGCGGUCGAGUAGACCGAGGAACACGUGUUUGGGAGUGGCUUUAGCUGUUGGGAUUUGAUAUCUUUGGUUAUAUAUGGAUGGAUUUAACUUGUAUACCCUGACAGUGGAAUCUAAUUUACUCUAUUAGUGUAGUUUUAUCUGUUGUAAGGAGUCGUUUGCCCUGUUUGCUUGUUAGCGAUACACGUUGAAUUGA